CAAUAGCGUAUAUUAAAGUUGUUGCGGUUAAAAAGCUCGUAGUUGGAUUUCUGCUGAGAACGACCGGUCCGCCCUUUGGGUGUGUAUCUGGCUCUUUCAUGGCAUCUUCUUGGUGAACGUUGCUGCACUUGACUGUGUGGAGCGCUACCCAGGACUUUUACUUUGAGGAAAUUAGAGUGUUUCAAGCAGGCAUACGCCUUGAAUACAUUAGCAUGGAAUAAUAAGAUAGGACCUCGGUUCUAUUUUGUUGGUUUCUAGAGCUGAGGUAAUGAUUAAUAGGGAUAGUUGGGGGCAUUCGUAUUUAACUGUCAGAGGUGAAAUUCUUGGAUUUGUUAAAGACGGACUACUGCGAAAACAUUUGCCAAGGAUGUUUUCAUUGA
rnacentral:rRNA from 1 species